UACGUAGGUGGCAAGCGUUGUCCGGAUUUACUGGGCGUAAAGAGCGCGCAGGCGGUCGGAUUAGUCGCGUGUGAAAGCCCCCGGCUCAACUGGGGAGGGUCACGCGAUACUGUUCGACUCGAAGGCAGGAGAGGGAAGUGGAAUUCCCGGUGUAGUGGUGAAAUGCGUAGAUAUCGGGAGGAACACCAGUGGCGAAGGCGGCUCUCUGGAACGCAACUGACGCUGAGACGCGAAAGCGUGGGGAGCAAACAGG
rnacentral:rRNA from 1 species